CCCUUAGAUGUUCUGGGCCGCACGCGUGCUACACUGAGUAAUUCAAUGGGUAAGGGAACGCUAGAGCAUUACCUAAUCUUGAAAUUUGCUCGUGAUGGGGAUCGACGGUUGCAAUUUUCCGUCGUGAACGAGGAAUGCCUUGUAGGCGCAUGUCAUCAUCAUGCGCCGAAUACGUCCCUGCCCUUUGUACACACCGCCCGUCGCUCCUACCGAUUGAGUGAUCCGGUGAGGCUCUGGGACCUGGACGGAAAGAGCGUUUCGCUUGUUCUGUUUGGGAAACUUGGUCGAACCUUAUCAUUUAGAGGAAGGAGAAGUCGUAACA
rnacentral:rRNA from 1 species